CCCUAUGGGGUGCUGAACCUGAGUAUCGCCGACGGUUGGUGGCCGGAAGGGUUUCACGGUAACAACGGCUGGACCAUCGGCCCGCUGGUGACCGAUUAUGCCGAAGAAGUGCCCAAUGCGGCCGACGAAGACUGCCAGUCCCUGUACAAUCUGCUGGAAAACACCAUCAUCCCCAUGUUCUACGACCGGGAUAGGUCGGGGUUGCCCGUGAAGUGGAUCGGCAUGAUCAAGGAGGCAUUGAAGACCCUGUCUCCCCGGUUCAAUACGGAACGGAUGCUGAUCGAAUAUUUCAACGACAUGUAUCUGCCGACGGCAAAGCGGUCCAAGGAACUUUCUCAGGAUUCCUACGCCCUUGCCAAGGAAUUGGCGGGAGAGC
rnacentral:rRNA from 1 species